rnacentral:rRNA from 1 species
UACGGAGGGGGCUAGCGUUGUUCGGAAUUACUGGGCGUAAAGCGCACGUAGGCGGCCUGUUAAGUCGGGGGUGAAAUCCUGGGGCUCAACCUCAGAAUUGCCUCCGAUACUGGCAGUCUCGAGUGCGGGAGAGGUGAGUGGAAUUCCCAGUGUAGAGGUGAAAUUCGUAGAUAUUAGGAAGAACACCAGUGGCGAAGGCGGCUCACUGGUCCGGUACUGACGCUGAGGUGCGAAAGCGUGGGGAGCAAACAGG